UGGGGAAUAUUGCACAAUGGGCGCAAGCCUGAUGCAGCCAUGCCGCGUGUGUGAAGAAGGCCUUCGGGUUGUAAAGCACUUUCAGCGAGGAGGAAGGUGGUGAACUUAAUACGUUCAUCAAUUGACGUUACUCGCAGAAGAAGCACCGGCUAACUCCGUGCCAGCAGCCGCGGUAAUACGGAGGGUGCAAGCGUUAAUCGGAAUUACUGGGCGUAAAGCGCACGCAGGCGGUUUGUUAAGUCAGAUGUGAAAUCCCCGGGCUCAACCUGGGAACUGCAUUUGAAACUGGCAAGCUAGAGUCUCGUAGAGGGGGGUAGAAUUCCAGGUGUAGCGGUGAAAUGCGUAGAGAUCUGGAGGAAUACCGGUGGCGAAGGCGGCCCCCUGGACGAAGACUGACGCUCAGGUGCGAAAGCGUGGGGAGCAAACAGGAUUAGAUACCCCUGGUAGUCCACGCUGUAAAACGAUGUCGAUUUUGGAGGUUGUGCCCCUUGAGGCGUGGCUUCCGGAGCUAACGCGUUAAAUCGACCGCCUGGGGAG
rnacentral:rRNA from 1 species